UACGGAGGGGACUAGCGUUGUUCGGAAUUACUGGGCGUAAAGCGCACGUAGGCGGAUUUGUAAGUCAGGGGUGAAAUCCCGGGGCUCAACCUCGGAACUGCCUUUGAUACUGCAAAUCUCGAGUCCGGAAGAGGUGAGUGGAAUUCCUAGUGGUAGAGGUGAAAUUCGUAGAUAUUAGGAAGAAACACCAGUGGCGAAGGA
rnacentral:rRNA from 1 species